UGUGGCCUAGGGACGCAGCAGUGAGGAAUAUUGGUCAAUGGUCGGGAGACUGAACCAGCCAAGCCGCGUGAGGGAUGAAGGUACAGAGUAUCGUAAACCUCUUUUGUCAGGGAACAAAGGCGGGGACGUGUCCCCGGAUGAGUGUACCUGAAGAAAAAGCAUCGGCUAACUCCGUGCCAGCAGCCGCGGUAAUACGGAGGAUGCGAGCGUUAUCCGGAUUUAUUGGGUUUAAAGGGUGCGCAGGCGGUCUGUUACGUCAGCGGUCAAAGCCCGGGGCUCAACCCCGGCCCGCCGUUGAAACUGGC
rnacentral:rRNA from 1 species